ACGUGGGUGGCUCAGUCGGUUGAGCAUCUGACUUCGGCUCAGGUCAUGGUCUCACGGUUUGUGAGUUCGAGUCCCGCGUC
rnacentral:tRNA from 1 species